AUCAGCUUGUUGGUGAGGUAACGGCUCACCAAGGCGACGACGGGUAGCCGACCUGAGAGGGUGACCGGCCACACUGGGACUGAGACACGGCCCAGACUCCUACGGGAGGCAGCAGUGGGGAAUAUUGCACAAUGGGCGAAAGCCUGAUGCAGCGACGCCGCGUGCGGGAUGACGGCCUUCGGGUUGUAAACCGCUUUACACAGGGACGAAGCGCAAGUGACUGUACCUGUAGAAUAAGGACCGGCCAACUACGUGCCAGCAGCCGCGGUAAUACGUAGGGUCCGAGCGUUGUCCGGAAUUACUGGGCGUAAAGAGCUUGUAGGCGGUUCGUCGCGUCGUUUGUGAAAACUUGGGGCUCAACCUUAAGCUUGCAGGCGAUACGGGCGGACUAGAGUACUUCAGGGGAGACUGGAAUUCCUGGUGUAGCGGUGAAAUGCGCAGAUAUCAGGAGGAACACCGGUGGCGAAGGCGGGUCUCUGGGAAGUAACUGACGCUGAGAAGCGAAAGCAUGGGUAGCAAACAGGAUUAGAUACCCUGGUAGUCCAUGCCGUAAACGGUGGGUACUAGGUGUGGGGCUCCUUCCACGGACUCCGUGCCGUAGCUAACGCAUUAAGUUCCCCGCCUGGGGAGUACGGC
rnacentral:rRNA from 1 species